UGGGGAAUUUUGGCCAAUGGGGGAAACCCUGAUCUAGCCAUCCCGCGUGUGCGAUGAAGGCCUUCGGGUUGUAAAGCACUUUUGGCAGGAAAGAAACGUCAUGGGUUACUCCCCCGUGAAACUGACGGUACCUGCAGAAUAACCACCGGCUAACUACGUGCCAGCAGCCGCGGUAAUACGUAGGGUGCAAGCGUUAAUCGGAAUUACUGGGCGUAAAGCGUGCGCAGGCGGUUCGGAAAGAAAGAUGUGAAAUCCCAGAGCUCAACUUUGGAACUGCAUUUUUAACUACCGGGCUAGAGUGUGUCAGAGGGAGGUGGAAUUCCGCGUGUAGCAGUGAAAUGCGUAGAUAUGCGGAGGAACACCGAUGGCGAAGGCAGCCUCCUGGGAUAACACUGACGCUCAUGCACGAAAGCGUGGGGAGCAAACAGG
rnacentral:rRNA from 1 species